rnacentral:rRNA from 1 species
GGAGUUAGCCGGUGCUUCUUCUGCGAGUAACGUCACAGAUGUAAGGUAUUAACUUACACCCUUUCCUCCUCGCUGAAAGUGCUUUACAACCCGAAGGCCUUCUUCACACACGCGGCAUGGCUGCAUCAGGGUUUCCCCCAUUGUGCAAUAUUCCCCACUGCUGCCUCCCGUAGGAGUCUGGGCCGUGUCUCAGUCCCAGUGUGGCUGAUCAUCCUCUCAGACCAGCUAGGGAUCGUCGCCUAGGUGAGCCUUUACCUCACCUACUAGCUAAUCCCACCUGGGCUUAUCCAUCAGCGCAAGGCCCGAAGGUCCCCUGCUUUCCCCCGUAGGGCGUAUGCGGUAUUAGCAGUCGUUUCCAACUGUUAUCCCCCACAAAUGGGCAAAUUCCCAGGCAUUACUCACCGUCCGCCGCUCGUCAUCUUACAAACGACAAGACUUUAGUAAUAGUUACCGUCUCGUACUUGUCAUGUGUUAGGUCCGUCGCCGCCGACGCGUUCUAUACUGAGCCACUGAUACAACUACUCGA